rnacentral:rRNA from 1 species
GACGUAGGGCGCGAGCGUUGUCCGGAUUUAUUGGGCGUAAAGAGCUCGUAGGCGGUCUGUCGCGUCGGCUGUGAAAACCCGGAGCUCAACUCCGGGCCUGCAGUCGAUACGGGCAAACUGGAGUGUUGCAGGGGAGACUGGAAUUCUUGGUGUAGCGGUGAAAUGCGUAGAUAUCCGGAGGAACACCGGUGGCGAAGGCGGCUUCCUGGACCGACACUGACGCUGAGGCGCGAAAGCUAGGGGAGCAAACGGG